CCAGAGCGACUUAGUAUUCGGUAGCAUUGCCUUUAAAUUGUUUAACUUGGGUCAAACAUUUUGGUUAGCCUUCCACAAGCUUCCCACAAUAAGUUGGGUGAAUUUUGACCCAUUCCUCCUGACAGAGCUGGUGUAACUGAAUCAGGUUUGUAGGCAUCCUUGUUCGCACACGCUUUUUCAGUUCUGCCCACAAAUUUUCUAUAGGCUUGAGGUCAGGGCUUUGUGAUGGCCACUCCAAUACCUUGAUUUUGUUGUCCUUAAACCAUUUUGCCACAACUUUGGAAGUAUGCUUGGGGUCAUUGUCCAUUUGGAAGACCCAUUUGCGACCAAGCUUUAACUUCCUGACUGAUGUCUUGAGGUGUUGCUUUGAUAUAUCCACGUAAUUUUCCUUCCACGUUUUUUUGUCUUAUUUCUUGUUUGUAUCACAAUAAAAAUAUUUUGCAUCUUCAAAGUGGUAGGCAUGUUGUAUAAAUCUAAUUAUACAACCUCCCCCCAAAACAUCUAUUUAAUUCCAGGUUGUAAGGCAACAAAAUAGGAAAGAUACAAAGGGGGUGAAUACUUUUGCAAGCCACUAUAGCUGCUUUAUGUCCUUCCAAAUUCACACACAAAAUGUGCCUCUACAUGCAGACCCGCCCAUUGGAAAAAAGACAACAUAAAUAAUAAAGAAUUGUUAAAGAAAUAUUUUCACAAUUUCUCCACCCUCAACAUGACAAGAAUAGGGCGACAGAGUAGGGAGACGCUUUGAAGUCACAUUCCAACCUGCCUCACCAUAAUUACACACAGUAGUCAUUAUGGCCUCAAACACUUACAUGGCGGUCAAGGUUAAGGGGCCAGGGGCUCCUUGUUCUCUUCUCACACAGACACUUAGGAGACGUGUCCCUCUGAAGGUGGUUCUAUGUACAGUGGGACAACCCUGAGACAAUAUGCAGUUGACAUCCUGCAAAUAAAACUACAAAAACAUGUGACCUCUGAAUAAACUAAUCUCUAAUCAAAUUGCUAGAAUUGCAUGAAGCAAAAAUACAAUUUGCUCUAGAGAAAUAAAGAGUUUAUUGUUGAGAUAUUCCUUUACAGAUGAUUUCAUCCUAGCGAUGGUCAUGUCCCCCAUUAUGUGAAUAUUUUGGUGUUUGCUAUCAUGGCAUAAGAUGACUUGAAAUUACAGAUGACUUGAAAUAAUAAUUGUUGGAAUUAAUAUGGUUCUUGUACACACAAAAAGUACACAAAUCGUGUAAAUCAUUCCUUGUAAGGGAAGUGUGUCUUCAAGUACAAGAUCUGCAAAACCUUGACUGCCCUCCAGUGGUUACCUUGGAAAAGAACACAUCUACCACUAACAGAGUUUAAAAGGUAGUCACAAUGAUUGAAGCAAGAAACAUUAAACCAUCAAUUUGUUUGCUAUGAUAAUACUAUAUUAUGCACAGACCUUUGGUAUCUGUGUAUUUCAAACACACAGUAGUUCCUUUCCUCGUACACAUGUAAUACACAGAAUGCAGGAAGUAUUUUGACGGGAGAUGACACACAGCACAACACUGUAACAGUCUGCUCUUGCUGCAACCUCGUUUUGUUUGCUUGUUCUGUUCAACUAAGGGCAAAGUACAUGACACAGGAGCUAUAUUGCUUGUUAAUAUCAACAUUUCAGAGCGGUUACUGAAGGAGAUGAGGACAUCCUUUAGUUUAUAGUAUUUUGUAGCUGCUACAAAACAGGGGUUAAACUCAAGACUGCAUUGAACCCUCUUAAGGAUAAACUGAGGCUCUUUAAGGGAGUCAAACUCACCUGUGAUAAUACAGCAAAACAUAUUGAGGGAAGAUCGUGCCCUACAGGAAGACUGAGGUGAAGCAAUUUUGAUUGGAUGCCAUGAGGGAGGAAAUAGUAUGAAUAAUGACAGAAAGAACCAGCAAGUUAAAUUGGUGACAGAAAAUUAUAACAGGAGAGAUACAGUAUGUCUGAGAUAUUCCUUGCACUCUCUCCAGAUCCAAGACCAGGAUACAGAGAGGCAGAUUAAGGGGCAGUUUAAAAAACUGUACCUGUUUUUGCAAGAGGAAGAUAGAUGGAUAGAUGCAGUGAGAAUGGAAGAGGUGCGGGAGAGUCAGGUGAUGAAACACAAGAUAACAGAGAUGAGCAGAGAGAUAUCAUCACUUUCAUACACAAUCAAAGCCACCUAACAACAGCUGAGCAUUGAAGACAUCUCAUUCUUGCAGAACUACUAAGCCACAGAGACAAGAGCCAAGCAAACACUGCCAGAUCCAAAGAGGGUUUCAGGAGCGCUGAUAGACGUGGCCAAACACCUGGGCAACCUGCAGUUAAGAGUCCGGGAGAAGAUGAAGGGGAUGGUCCAAUACUGUAAAUACGUUUCCAUCCACAAUUUGUUCGUGCGACAUGAUGGGAUCUUUUUGUGUCUGUAAAAUGUAUUAUGCGACACAUAGCGGUGGAAACGAUUUCUUGCGCAAUUGUUGGUAGAAUAACCAUCAUAUCGAGGUAAAUGUGCAGUCACGCGAUGCUAUGUUGUGUGCGACUUGGAAAAGCAUGCACAGUUUAAGCUACGUGAUGAUGAAAGUACACAGUGAUGAGCUUGAUGCUGCUUUCCAACAAAAAUUGAGGGUAUUAUUUGUAUGCUAGUGACAUAAUGAUCUUGCUUUUAUCUCAUCAUAUAGCCUAUAACUUGUCCAGUGUACACUUUAUCAGCGAACUGUUGUCUAGAGAGCAUGUGCGAAAAAAUAGAUUGGGCAAGUUUGCCAUUUAUCGCGACAGUUUGUGGCAAAACUACUGGUAGAGUCGAAAAUACAAUGGUAACACAUUAAACUCGUGUUUAAACCCGCAACAAAGUCAGGGGGCGUUUCUCUGCCCAUGUGUUGUUGAUGGAUGCCAAAUCUUACAACAGCUGGAUGGGUAUUGUAAGUAUUAGCUAACCAUAUCAUACGUUAUAGCAAUCUGUCACCCGAUAAAAUGGUCCAUGACGUAGUACGCAACCAUAGGUUUAUGCAUGAAACGUCUGAACGGGGGACGCGGCCUCGGUCUGGUGCAGAGUAUGUGAGCGGAGCGGAGCUUGGAGCAAGGAGUGAUUUUUUAAAAUGUUUUAUUAUAUUAUUCGCAUGAAAAUCUGUCGCAAAUUGGAUGGAAACCUAGCCACUGAGUAAUGUUUUGCAGCAAAAAACAACAGUAGGUUUCAUCUGCACCUUGUUCUUAGUCCUAGGACUGUAAUCAGCAUAAUUCAUAUUAAUUCUAGUAGUGACCCCCAUACUGUUAAAUUGCAUAAUUUCUCUAUUGCAAAACAAUGCUCAUAGGAAUUUAGAUAUGUAUCAAUGAAACUUGUAGUGAAUUUACAGAGUAAAUGGUAAAGUUAAAUGAUCUCUCCUUAGCUCCUGUAAUCAUGGAUCCCAACACUGCAGACACAGGUCUCAUCCUGUAACGAGGACUUGACCAGCAUGAGACAUUGUGAUAAAGCACUACAGCUCCCUGACAACCCAGAGAGGCUUCAUGGAUGUGUCCUAGGUUCUGAGGGUUAUAACUCAGGAACACACAGCUGGGACGUAGAGAAUUCUGAUGGUUCCUAUUGGGCUGUAGGUGUGGCCACAAAUAAUCCCAAAAGAUCUAGUUGGUCUAGAUCUAGCAGUAUGCCAUAUAAAUCCUAGGGUAUUUGGACUACCUGUGUUAGUCACUUCCUAGAAUUUUCCCAAAAGGAUCAUCUUGAAGUAAAGAGAAUGAUUAUUUCAGCUUUAAUUUCUUCCAUCACAUUCCCAGUGGGUCAGAAGUUUACAUACACUCAAUUAGUAUUUGGUAGCGUUGCCUUGAAAUUGUUUGACUUGGGUCAAACGUUUCGGAUAGCCUUCCACAAGCUUCUCACAAUAAGUUGGGAGAAUUUUGACCCAUUCCUCCUGACAGAGCUGGUGUAACCGAGUCAGGUUUGUAGGCUUCCUUGCUCGCACACGCUUUUUCAGUUCUGCCCACAAAUUUUCUAUAGGAUUGAGGUCAGGGCUUUGUAAUGGCCAAAUCAAAUCAAAUCCAAUGUUAUUUGUCACAUACACAUGGUUAGCAGAUGUUAAUGCGAGUGUAGCGAAGUGCUUGUGCUUCUAGUUCCGACAAUGCAGUCCAAUACCUUGAUGGCAUAAUGAAUUCCACCAAGUAUCAUAUCAGGCAAUUUUGGCUGACAAUUUGGUUGCCUCUACCAGAAGUCUGGGACUUGGCCGUAGGUGGACUUUCCAACAAGACAAUAUCCCAAAACAUACCUCAAGAUCCACACAGAAAUGGUUGUGACAACAAAAUCAAUGUUCUGCCAUGGCCAUCUCAGUCGCCGGACCUCAAUCCAAUCAAAAACCUGUGGGCUGAGUUGAAGAGGCCAGUUGAUAAGCGCAAACCCAAGAAUGUGAAGGAUUUUGAAAGCAUCUGCAUAGAGGAAUGGUCCAUAAUCCCUCCAAAUGUGUUCCUUAACCUUGUCAAACAUUACAGGAAAAGACCAUGCUGUUAUCCUUGCCAGAGGUGUUUGCACUAAGUACUAAAUGAGGAGUGCCAAUAAUUAUGAAACCUUGAUUUUGGUUAAAUGUAUUUUGUAUUUAAUCAUUGUAUGAUUGUGGUUGGUUCCACUGAAACAUUAAUAAAGUACAGUAUUUCUCA